GGAAUAUUGGACAAUGGGGGCAACCCUGAUCCAGCAAUGCCGCGUGUGUGAAGAAGGCCUUCGGGUUGUAAAGCACUUUAAGUUGGGAGGAAAAGCUGUUCGUUAAUAGCGGAUAGUGUUGACGUUACCAACCGAAUAAGCACCGGCUAACUCCGUGCCAGCAGCCGCGGUAAUACGGAGGGUGCAAGCGCUAAUCGGAAUUACUGGGCGUAAAGCGCGCGUAGGUGGUUUGAUAAGCGAGAUGUGAAAGCCCCGGGCUCAACCUGGGAACGGCAUUUCGAACUGUCAGGCUAGAGUAUGGUAGAGGAGUGUGGAAUUUCCUGUGUAGCGGUGAAAUGCGUAGAUAUAGGAAGGAACACCAGUGGCGAAGGCGGCACUCUGGACCAAUACUGACACUGAGGUGCGAAAGCGUGGGGAGCA
rnacentral:rRNA from 1 species